UACUCGAGUGGCGAACGGGUGAGUAACACGUGGGUGAUCUGCCCUGCACUUCGGGAUAAGCCUGGGAAACUGGGUCUAAUACCGGAUAGGAGCCAUUUUUAGUGUGAUGGUUGGAAAGUUUUUUCGGUGUAGGAUGAGCUCGCGGCCUAUCAGCUUGUUUGUGGGGUAAUGGCCUACCAAGGCGGCGACGGGUAGCCGGCCUGAGAGGGUGGACGGCCACAUUGGGACUGAGAUACGGCCCAG
rnacentral:rRNA from 1 species